AAAUAGAUGCUCACCUGGUGCGACUCCAUUUCUCUUUGGCACCCAAAUUUAGGACCUUCCAGCCUGUGCUCAUAACUAAGCUUAUGAAAAUUUGUUUGCCCAGAGUUUUUAACCUUCCACCUUCUCCUGGCUAUGUGUAAAGCAAAAUGCAGACAAACCCAUCAAAACUAAGGUGGGUUGUUCCUGGACUGCCAAGAGAAAUCAAACUCAGCAGACAGUAGGUGUGAAAUUUAGGAACUGUGAUGGAUAAUGGGGCUUGUGUCUGUCUUCAACAGCAAACUCCAUUUUGAAGGGGAAUUUUCAGCUGUUUUCAUGGAAGUCUCCCCUCGGGUUAUGCUAACCUUCCAGAGGGUGGUAAUAAAGUGCAACUGAGUGGGACAGCUGUCUUUUCAUAGAGGUUUUUCACCAGCUCUAUGACGAUCUCUGUUCUUAAAUCACCCGCACCUCUGACAUGCAUUGGGUGCAGUGUGACAGAAGCUCAGUUUAUAGGAGUGGGGUUUGCAGCCACUUGUCCUUGGAUUGAGAUCAAGAAACUGUGCUGUAGUUCCCCAGCCUUGUAGCACCAGCAUAGAGCCACUGCUGCAUCUGACAACUGCUUCCUCCACUCACCUUUUUGUCAACGGGGACGGGGGCUUCAGCCUGUCUUUGUCCAGCACAUUUCUAAGGUUUGCUGUUAUUUCUGAUUCUUCUUUCUCUCAGAAAAAUUGUAAUUUUUAAAUAUGUCUCUAUUCGUCAAGCCAGAAUGGCUUUGAGAAGGGCCUAACUCAAAGAUUUCAAACAGUAGGGUUUGGUUUUACUGUAGAUGUCAGCUGCAUUGCUGUGAAGGGGAAAAAAUGAUUCUAACAACCAGUUUAUCAUGAGUGAUGGAACAGUGGCACUCUAGAGAGUCAACGUUUGCAAGCUCGGGAUCAUGCAACAGAGGGAUGUGGACUUUUAAAAUGGAAACAAUUGUCAAAGUGUGCGAUGUUCUUGUGAGCCAUGCUGUGUGGUCAGUUCUCAGGUGUAGAGAGGAACUGCUGGGGAAGGAAGGAGGGACCUGUACGGUGACCGCCUUCAGAAAGUGGCAAUCUGAUUCAUGGCCAUAUCUAAGAAAAACCCAUGUGAAGUGAGAAAAAAAUUGCAACCAGUAACAAAGGAAGUAUCCCAGAGAUGGGUUCAUGGAGGCCCAGGCAUGGACCCGCAUGGGAAGGUCAAGACUGGAAAGGAAAACAGAGAGUUGAUAGUUUUUAAUCAUCCAUGAUAAGGCAGGUCAUCUGCAGAACUGCAACAACUUCCUUUAACUCAAUAAUGGCGGGAUUCAUUUGAAACAACCUCUGAGGUAAAAUAAGCCCAUGCAAUGGCAAGGCCUGCAGGGAAACCAGCAGAGCCACUGGGCUGCACAAAGCCUGGCUGGCUGCCUCACACUGCGAAAUACACAGAAUGCAAGCUCUACAGAAACGUGUGUAGAGGUGGCAGAGAUGCACCUUGAAGGACAUGUAACAAUAUAGACCACACAAAGUAUCAGUUAUUUCAUCUUUCUCUCCUCCCUUCUCCUCCCGUUCCCUUCAAUUUAUCAAAAUAGACUAAUCCCAGAGAGUAGUGAUAAAGAGUGGUAGAGCUCUGUCUCUCCACUCAGAAGCAUCUCUGUGUGAUCUGCUGGUAGACGCGACCUGAAGUAAACAGCGUUGGCUGGAGUGUGCCAUUUUGUAACUAGGUGGUUUUACUGUGUUUUCAGGUUAUGUGGCAAGUGAGACCAACUCCUCUCUUUUUGUAAUUCCUAAUAAAUAGCCUCUUUCUAGAUUUCCU
ensembl:lncRNA